UCAAUCCUGACACUGUGGCUCCGACCUCAAACUGAAUGCAAAACAGCAAAGUUGCCUCUUCAAUGUAUUUUUACUGAUUUCCACAAAGUGUUAUGUGGAAGGAGACAAAUGAUUUAAUGUAAAAAGAAUCAGCAGGUUUAGAUGAUCUGAAAACUAAACGUGAUGUUCAUGAAGAUGUUCAUCCUGGUGUCUUUACGCUGUGACAGCACUGAGCUCAGCAUCUCCAUUCAAUUCAGCCGCCUAUAAAUACUGACGAGGACUCCUCCAACAUUCAUCAGCUGACUGGCUGGCUGAGCAGUGCAGUCAUGAAGGUCCUCGUCGUCCUCGUCUUCAUCUUUCUCUCAGGUUGUAAUGGUGGACACUAUGAACCCCCAAGCCAAAGGCAGGUAGAAAUGGCGCAGGAUGCUUACUGGCAAUAUGUUCAGCAGUCAACGU